GACGAACGCUGGCGGCGUGCCUAAUACAUGCAAGUAGAACGCACAGUUUAUACCGUAGCUUGCUACACCAUAGACUGUGAGUUGCGAACGGGUGAGUAACGCGUAGGUAACCUGCCUGGUAGCGGGGGAUAACUAUUGGAAACGAUAGCUAAUACCGCAUAAUAUUAAUUAUUGCAUGAUAAUUAAUUGAAAGGUGCAAUUGCACCACUACCAGAUGGACCUGCGUUGUAUUAGCUAGUAGGUGAGGUAACGGCUCACCUAGGCGACGAUACAUAGCCGACCUGAGAGGGUGAUCGGCCACACUGGGACUGAGACACGGCCCAGACUCCUACGGGAGGCAGCAGUAGGGAAUCUUCGGCAAUGGACGAAAGUCUGACCGAGCAACGCCGCGUGAGUGAAGAAGGCUUUCGGAUCGUAAAGCUCUGUUGUAAGAGAAGAACGGGUGUGAGAGUGGAAAGUUCACACUGUGACGGUAUCUUACCAGAAAGGGACGGCUAACUACGUG
rnacentral:rRNA from 1 species